AUUGAAUGCUGGCGGCAGGCCUAACACAUGCAAGUCGAACGGUAACAGGAAGAAGCUUGCUUCUUUGCUGACGAGUGGCGGACGGGGGAGUAAUGUCUGGGAAACUGCCUGAUGGAGGGGGAUAACUACUGGAAACGGUAGCUAAUACCGCAUAACGUCGCAAGACCAAAGAGGGGGACCUUCGGGCCUCUUGCCAUCGGAUGUGCCCAGAUGGGAUUAGCUAGUAGGUGGGGUAACGGCUCACCUAGGCGACGAUCCCUAGCUGGUCUGAGAGGAUGACCAGCCACACUGGAACUGAGACACGGUCCAGACUCCUACGGGAGGCAGCAGUGGGGAAUAUUGCACAAUGGGCGCAAGCCUGAUGCAGCCAUGCCGCGUGUAUGAAGAAGGCCUUCGGGUUGUAAAGUACUUUCAGCGGGGAGGAAGGGAGUAAAGUUAAUACCUUUGCUCAUUGACGUUACCCGCAGAAGAAGCACCGGCUAACUCCGUG
rnacentral:rRNA from 1 species